CUCAAGCACAAGUGCAGACUGAGACGCAGAGCGGAGCACAAGUACAGACACAGACUGUAAAAAUACAACAAAGUACAACUCCACUAGAGGCUGCGAAUCAACCAACAACUCAUGUAGUCAAAGCAGAAACAGUGCAAAGUCAAGCACAGACUGUCAAACCAUCACUGACGGCAGUGCAACAGAAGACAUCUGUUCAGUCAAACACCUCUCGAGAACCACAAACAGCAAAACCAACAAAUGAACGUCAGUCUGCAUCUCAUCCAGCCGUACAGACCAGGACAGCCCAGUCUCCCUUGCACUCCAUCACACAAGCAGAGACCUCAUCUCAAAUUGCACAAGGGAGUGUCACACAGUCUCUCGCACAAUCUUACCUUUCCUCAGGCCAGCUGACCCCCCGGAGCAAUCGAGGUCUUUACGCAGCCAACCAGCUCAAAUCAACAACCUCAGUUUCUGCAACAUCAUUGACUUCAGCUCUUCCUCCAGUUCCGGCCUUGGGAAGAGGGGAAAGAGAAACCGCAGUGCAGGAGAAAGAGGGCGCAUCACAGUCGGGAAAACGAGCAGUUUUGGCCGGGGCAGUAAGCGAGAAGGCGGCUUUUUUGGAGAAACGGGCAGAGUGGACCAAUCCACCUGGAACCAAGGGGGUGGAAUUGAAGAAAGCUCAAACAGAGGUGCAGAUAUCAGGUGAAUCCGCUGCCUCGGUGAAAAGCACGGCCCUAAGCAGAGACAUCAAACCAGAGGGAAGACAAGGGGUGAAGCUCGCAGAGUCAAGUCCCACCAAAGUUCCAGACAGACGUCGUGAGGAAAAAUGUCUGCGGAAAAACGUGGUGACAUCUUCAUCGCGCUCAUCGUCACCUACAAUGCAGUCAGCGUUGCCGUCCGUGUCUGAGAGCGGCCAGCCGUCCUGGAUGGAGCUGGCGAAAAGAAAGUCGAUGGCCUGGAGUGAUAAGUCUAUGGACUGAGAGAAACAGACAAACUGAUGGUACACCUGUAGACAAAUUGUCAGAGAAAUGUUGAUCCCUCUCUGUCGAGGCUGUUGGGUUUGUGUAUUGAAUAAGUGUUCGUAUUAAUGCAGACAGAGAAUAUAUAAUGUAUUAUAAUUCCUCUUUACCACAAACACAUCAAGAUAAAUUGUAUUUCUGAAUUUUCUUUCAUUUCUCAAGUGACUUAAUGUAAGAGGGCUACGGAGAAUUAAAAUAUACAAUAACUGACUUCAUACUUCCUCUACAACAUAAGAAAUGAUGCCAAAACUCUUCAUAUAUGGAUGAAAAUAUAACUUUUUAACAAGCGGUGAUGAGGUAAAAGAGAAUGUGGAACAAUUCCUAUUAUAAUUGAAGUAUUUCUUCAAGACCUUACGAGUGUGGGUCAAGAUUAAAGUCAGGACAUUUGAGUUUGUUGCCCCAGCUUUUCCCUGUGUGUAACCUUGGCCCUAAUGUACCCGUAAGCCGUAUCAUGGGACCUGCACUAGACCUAACUCGGCCUACAGCCCCUCCUGCAGAGCGGAUCCAGACCUGUUCCGAGUUGUGCAUCAUCACUGUGAAAAGGGAUCAUUGCUGGUGCUCUUCCCUGAAAUGAUAUGUUUUUUUAAAUGGUAGGUCACACUGCAUACCACUAAUAUAAUUGUUUUGUUUUAAAACCUUAGACAAUACUUAAUUGUCUGGGUGCGUAAUAGACCUGGCUUCUAAGAAAGUCAGACGUUUUAUUAUCCUUGUUGUCAUUCCUGGCUAACCUGCUGCUAACUCGUCCCUUGCCAGUUGCAUGGCCUGGGUAUGUUUGGAAUAUUAGUACUUUAUAACAACCUGGUACGAUCUUCUAUAGUUUGUAUCUUACAACUCCGUGCUGCAUGGCUUAUGUGUUUGUGUCAUAUCACCAUUUUACUAACUUGUAACUGCAUCUUUGUACAUUUUUUUAAAUCGAGAUCUCCAUUACGUUAUGAUUGUUGUAUUUUAUUUCUGUCCUAUUCCUUCUUGCUGCUCUGCAUGCAUCAAAGAAAUGGCUUUCAUCAGUAUUGGUUGGCUUUGUUUCGUUGCUUGUUAGCAUGGCUUCAUGUAAAGUGGAUAUUGUGGAUGUAUUGCUGUACUUAUGUUUUGAUGUGUCCUGUUGCUCUGCUUUCAAAACAUCUCGCCAAAGGCCUACAGUUGAAAAUUAGCCAGAUGGCACAUUUACAAUAUUGUUGAUUAAUGUGCAUUGUCUUUAUCAAUAAAAAAAAGUCACAAAAAGCAAACAAACAAAAGUACUAAGACACAUGCUGCAACAUGCAUGGCAAUUU
ensembl:lncRNA